CAGAAAGAUUACAAUAAAAAACUGGUUUUAACCCACAAAGACAGAUGUGUAACCCAGCAUCCUGGAACAAGAACAGAAUGGUGUUUGUUAGCC